rnacentral:snoRNA from 1 species
UUCCUUUUCCCGUUCAUAAGCAUGAUGACUGGCUUCUCACACACUUGCAUGGCAUGUGCUUCCCUCAAAUCUUCUUGUGACCUGGGCACAUUUAAAA